rnacentral:lncRNA from 1 species
ACCGCCUGCUGUUCUUCCCAUAAGGGAUGGAGGAAGCAAAUCUUUCACAAAUGUUCCUUUUUUCAUACUAGCAAAUGGAAGAACCAAACCAAUCCAAAUCUCACUUUUUAAGGGAAUUAAAUUUUGAGAUGAGGACAUUUAGCCUCAGCUCCAGGGUGACCUCUUCUUGGAAUGGCUCUGCACCACCCCCCAGAUCCCUCCGCUGCCCAGUUCUGAGCCCCAGGAGGCUGACCUCUGCAGAAUGUAUUACCCUGGUGCCCUGUCUGGUGGAUUUCUGGUUAAAUUCAGCCAACCUGCGAGACUGGUGGGAGAUUGGAGGGCAGGAAGAAAGAGAAAGAGCACUGUUUCCUCUUCUUGCCUGUCCACCCCGGCGGAGGUGAUGGCUUCCCAGUGUCGCAACAACAGCCUUGUGGGUUCCUUAGCUUGCCCACAGCUCUGUGUCUGGUCCCUUCACCAAACUCUUGGUU